UACGGAGGAUGCAAGCGUUAUCCGGAAUGAUUGGGCGUAAAGCGUCCGCAGGUGGCUAUGUAAGUCUGCUGUUAAAGAGUGAGGCUCAACCUCAUAAGAGCAGUGGAAACUACAUAGCUAGAGUGCGUUCGGGGCAGAGGGAAUUCCUGGUGUAGCGGUGAAAUGCGUAGAUAUCGAGAGGAACACCUGCGGCGAAGGCGGGUUGCUGGGCUGAUACUGACGCUGAGGCGCGAAAGCUAGGGGAGCGAACGGG
rnacentral:rRNA from 1 species